rnacentral:rRNA from 1 species
UACGUAGGGGGCAAGCGUUGUCCGGAUUUAUUGGGUUUAAAGGGUGCGUAGGCGGUCUAUUAAGUCAGUGCUGAAAUAUCCCGGCUUAACCGGGAGGGUGGCAUUGAUACUGAUGGACUUGAGUGCAGUCGAGGUAGGCGGAAUUGACGGUGUAGCGGUGAAAUGCUUAGAUAUCGUCAAGAACACCGAUAGUGAAGACCGCUUACUAGACUGUAACUGACGCUGAGGCACGAAAGCGUGGGGAGCAAACAGA